AUUGAACGCUGGCGGCAGGCUUAACACAGGCAAGUCGAGCGGAGAUGAGGUGCUUGCACCUUAUCUUAGCGGCGGACGGGUGAGUAAUGCUUAGGAAUCUGCCUAUUAGUGGGGGACAACAUUCCGAAAGGAAUGCUAAUACCGCAUACGUCCUACGGGAGAAAGCAGGGGAUCUUCGGACCUUGCGCUAAUAGAUGAGCCUAAGUCGGCUUAGCUAGUUGGUGGGGUAAAGGCCUACCAAGGCGACGAUCUGUAGCGGGUCUGAGAGGAUGAUCCGCCACACUGGGACUGAGACACGGCCCAGACUCCUACGGGAGGCAGCAGUGGGGAAUAUUGGACAAUGGGGGGAACCCUGAUCCAGCCAUGCCGCGUGUGUGAAGAAGGCCUUAUGGUUGUAAAGCACUUUAAGCGAGGAGGAGGCUACUGAGACUAAUACUCUUGGAUAGUGGACGUUACUCGCAGAAUAAGCACCGGCUAACUCUGUGCCAGCCGCCGCCGUAAGAC
rnacentral:rRNA from 1 species